UACAAUAGCUUGAUAUUUUUUGGGAAC
rnacentral:sRNA from 1 species